ACGGAAGGCAGCAGUGGGGAAUAUUGGGCAAUGGGCGAAAGCCUGACCCAGCAACGCCGCGUGAAGGAAGAAGGUCUUCGGAUUGUAAACUUCUUUUAUGAGGGACGAAGGACGUGACGGUACCUCAUGAAUAAGCCACGGCUAACUACGUGCCAGCAGCCGCGGUAAUACGUAGGGAGCGAGCGUUGUCCGGAAUUACUGGGUGUAAAGGGUGCGUAGGCGGGACGGCAAGUCAGAUGUGAAAUGUAUGGGCUCAACCCAUAACCUGCAUUUGAAACUGUUGUUCUUGAGUGAGGUAGAGGUAAGCGGAAUUCCUAGUGUAGCGGUGAAAUGCGUAGAUAUUAGGAGGAACAUCGGUGGCGAAGGCGGCUUACUGGGCCUUUACUGACGCUGAGGCACGAAAGCGUGGGGAGCAAACAGGAUUAGAUACCCUGGUA
rnacentral:rRNA from 1 species